rnacentral:rRNA from 1 species
AUCUUUGGCCCGUAACUGACGCUGAGGAGCGAAAGCAUGGGGAGCGAACAGGAUUAGAUACCCUGGUAGUCCAUGCCGUAAACGUUGGGAACUAGAUGUAGGGGCCAUUCCACGGUUUCUGUGUCGCAGCUAACGCAUUAAGUUCCCCGCCUGGGGAGUACGGCCGCAAGGCUAAAACUCAAAGGAAUUGACGGGGGCCCGCACAAGCGGCGGAGCAUGCGGAUUAAUUCGAUGCAACGCGAAGAACCUUACCAAGGCUUGACAUAUACCGGAAACGUCCAGAGAUGGUCGCCCCGCAAGGUCGGUAUACAGGUGGUGCAUGGUUGUCGUCAGCUCGUGUCGUGAGAUGUUGGGUUAAGUCCCGCAACGAGCGCAACCCUCGUUCUAUGUUGCCAGCACGUUAUGGUGGGAACUCAUAGGAGACUGCCGGGGUCAACUCGGAGGAAGGUGGGGAUGACGUCAAAUCAUCAUGCCCCUUAUGUCUUGGGCUUCACGCAUGCUACAAUGGCCGAUACAAAGGGCUGCGAUACCGUAAGGUGGAGCGAAUCCCAAAAAGUCGGUCUCAGUUCGGAUUGAGGUCUGCAACUCGACCUCAUGAA